CCGUGCUAGGCGGGGAAAUAGCGGAGCCCUGUACUCGCAAUCCGCUCCAGCGAGGCUGAAUCCCUUCCCGAGGCUGGUUAACUGUAGGGUCUGCCUCAAGUAAGUGGUGUUGACGUCUGGGUCCUGCGCAAUGAGAAUCCAUGAACCAUGUCAGGUCCGGAAGGAAGCAGCAUUAAGUGGUCCCUCUCAUGUGCCGCAGGGCAGCCUGGGCCGAGCUAACUGCUUGGGUAACGCUUAUGGUUGCCAGUCGACGGAAGGUGCACGG
rnacentral:SRP_RNA from 1 species